CAAUAGCGUAUAUUUAAGUUGUUGCAGUUGAAAGGCUCGUAGUCGGAAUUUAGCGCUUUCUCGAUGGUCCGCCUCUGGUGUGCACUGUCGACGAUUGUGCUUUCUGUCGGGGACGUGUUCCUGGGCUUAACUGUCUGGGACCCGGGCUCGGCGUGGUUACUUUGAGUAAAUUAGAGUGUUCAAAGCAGGCGAUCGCCCUGAAUACAUUAGCAUGGAAUAGCAUGAUAGGACUCUGGCCUAUCUUGCUGGUCUGUAGGACCGGAGUAAUGAUUAAGAGGGACAGUCGGGGGCAUUCGUAUUUCGUUGUCAGGGGUGAAAUUCUUGGAUUUACGAAAGGCGAACAUCUGCGAAAGCAUUUGCCAAGGAUGUUUUCAUUGA
rnacentral:rRNA from 1 species